UACGUAGGGGGCAAGCGUUGUCCGGAAUCAUUGGGCGUAAAACGCGUGUAGGCGGCCCGGUAAGUCCGCUGUGAAAGUCCAGGGCUCAACCCUGGGAUGCCGGUGGAUACUGUCGGGCUCGAGUCCGGAAGAGGAGUGUGGAAUUCCUGGUGUAGCGGUGAAAUGCGCAGAUAUCAGGAGGAACACCAAUGGCGAAGGCAGCACUCUGGGACGUGACUGACGCUGAGACGCGAAAGCGUGGGGAGCAAACAGG
rnacentral:rRNA from 1 species